UACGUAGGUGGCAAGCGUUGUCCGGAUUUACUGGGCGUAAAGAGCGCGCAGGCGGUCGUUCAAGUCGCGUGUGAAAGCCCCCGGCUCAACUGGGGAGGGUCACGCGAUACUGAUCGACUCGAAGGCAGGAGAGGGUAGUGGAAUUCCCGGUGUAGUGGUGAAAUGCGUAGAUAUCGGGAGGAACACCAGUGGCGAAGGCGACUACCUGGCCUGUUCUUGACGCUGAUGUGCGAAAGCCAGGGGAGCGAACGGG
rnacentral:rRNA from 1 species